AUUGAACGCUGGCGGCAGGCUUAACACAUGCGAGUCGAGCGGGGUGAUGGUGCUUGCACUAUCACUUAGCGGCGGACGGGUGAGUAAUGCUUAGGAAUCUGCCUAUUAGUGGGGGACAACAUCUCGAAAGGGAUGCUAAUACCGCAUACGUCCUACGGGAGAAAGCAGGGGAUCACUUGUGACCUUGCGCUAAUAGAUGAGCCUAAGUCGGAUUAGCUAGUUGGUGGGGUAAAGGCCUACCAAGGCGACGAUCUGUAGCGGGUCUGAGAGGAUGAUCCGCCACACUGGGACUGAGACACGGCCCAGACUCCUACGGGAGGCAGCAGUGGGGAAUAUUGGACAAUGGGGGGAACCCUGAUCCAGCCAUUCCGCGUGUGUGAAGAAGGCCUUAUGGUUGUAAAGCACUUUAAGCGAGGAGGAGGCUCUUUUGGUUAAUACCCAAGAUGAGUGGACGUUAUUCGCAGAAUAAGCACCGGCUAACUCUGUGCCAGCCGCCGCCGUAA
rnacentral:rRNA from 1 species